UUGGAUGCCUGCAUAUAGCCAGUCCAUGGCAUGGUAUGUGUACCAGCAAGCCUCUUUCCAAUUAGCUAAGGGAAAAGCCAGGACCCAUGGCAGACUGAUACCCACAUCUACUUCUCACUGGAGCUAUGCAAGCUACGUGUCUGCAUUCUGCUCUACUCUGCCUGGACAGAACUCUGCUGCAGAUGAAUGAGGAAGAUGUCCUGCCAGGAAGGAAUGAAGAGGGAUGGCAGCGGUGGCUUGGAUCAACCCUUUACUCCUACUGCUGCCUGCCACGCCAGCUACGUAUGGGCACUCUGC
rnacentral:lncRNA from 1 species